CAAGUGGUUGCAUGAAUCAGCAUUCCUGGGCUAGCUAGCAAAAGUAUACUGUACACUUCUGGAACAGCUGGAUCUCCACGUGGAGCAGCCUUAUAUACUAGGGAGGAGGAGCCAGAAGGUGGUGACUGAGCAUGCACGAAGCUCAUUUUGCGCUGGAAGCCAUUGUGAGAAGAGCUCGUUGCUGUGGUCCUCGGGCCUAGGCCUAGGCCGGCUGGUGGGAGGCUGGACUCACCCCUGGUGUGUCCGGAGUCCUCCCUGGAUGGCAGACACCAUUGCUGGGCGGCUAGAUCCCCGGCGAAGAAUGGGAAGAGGUGAAGAGGCGAAGCGGUUGCAGGUUGGGGACCUCUGAGGCUCGGCGGCGCAGCAGACAUAAGUCGAGGAUCCUCGGGGUCCUAGGGAGCGGUGGCAGCGGUGGCGAUGGCUGUGGGUCCCGGUCGGCGAUUACUGGUCUCUGGAUGGGGAGAGAAGCCUGGUCUCGGCUUGUCGUUCGUUCAGAACUGCGAUAGGAAAUAAUCACCAGUAACGCACAGAGAAUCAGGGUUUACUUUGGCAAUGAUAAGCUUGCAAUCAAAAGUAAAGUACAAGUCGGUGUUUUGGUUCAAAGUCAGCGCUGGGUGUAAUCACACCACAGCGCUAUUUAACAAAAACUCAGCCCCUUAAACAUACAUCCAGUGAUUAUCAAUCAAGCACCCCCCCACUCCCUUAACAGUAACAGCUGCGAGCACCAGAGCAGCGAGGACAGCAGAAUCGGAGAGGCCCGGCAACGUCAUCAAUCAUUACCUGAAUGCUGCUAUCCAGGAACUGUUUGUGUGUUCGCUGCGGCUGCUUAUCUCCACUCCUUCGUCUCCCACACCCCCCAUCGAUGGCGAGCUCCGGUAGGACUCGACAGGUGGCCCCCACUACCAGGAGCUCACCUAUAAAUAGAAAGCAUACAAAUGUUAGUCACUGUUACGAUCCUGCAUUAGGUUUGUCUGGGUAUUUCCGAUGGAACCGUUGUAUCAAUCGGGCAGCGUGAACAUCGGGUGCUGCCACCCACGAGGCCUGUGUUACAGGGUAUCCUUUCCACCGCACAAGAUAUUGUAACAUCCCCCUAUGAGCCCUGGAGUCCAAUAUUCGGUCUAUCUCAUAUUGGUUGGUAUGCACGGGACCCGGUGGAGUAGUCGAGGUACCUGGCCUUUCUAUCGUCACCGGUUUCACCAAACUGCUAUGGAAUA